GACGAACGCUGGCGGCGUGCUUAACACAUGCAAGUCGAGCGGUAAGGCCCUUUCGGGGGUACACGAGCGGCGAACGGGUGAGUAACACGUGGGUGACCUGCCCUCAGCUCUGGGAUAAGCCUGGGAAACCGGGUCUAAUACCGGAUAUGACUCCAUGACGCAUGUUGUGGGGUGGAAAGCCUUGUGCGGCUGAGGAUGGGCCCGCGGCCUAUCAGCUUGUUGGUGGGGUGAUGGCCUACCAAGGCGACGACGGGUAGCCGGCCUGAGAGGGCGACCGGCCACACUGGGACUGAGACACGGCCCAGACUCCUACGGGAGGCAGCAGUGGGGAAUCUUGCGCAAUGGGCGAAAGCCUGACGCAGCGACGCCGCGUGAGGGAUGACGGCCUCGGUGUAACUACUU
rnacentral:rRNA from 1 species